GAAGGGUCCACUAGGUGGGUGAAGUCAGUCCCAGGUCUGAGGACAUUUCACCAAGUACCACCUGCAGUUUUGUGGCUCACCACACGAGGCAGCUGUUUACAUAUCUCAGACAAGUUACUAGAUAGGACUUUCUUUUCUUUUUUUUGUUUAGGGAGGGAGACAGCCAAAUGGAAAAGUGAUAAAGGUUUCUAAAAUUGUGCACAGUCUGUGGAGAAGUGGAUAGAUAGAAACACUUCUCCCUCUCUCGGAAUAUUAGAAAUUGGAAUUACCCGUGAGAUUCACUGACAGUAGCUUCUUUGGUGGCAAAAUACUCUUCACUUUGAGUAUUCAUUGUGUAGGAUUCUUUGCCACUGAGUGCCACUGGGUCAAGAGCUUAGAUAGCUGUUACAGGAGAUUAGAGCAAAACCCUGCUCAUAGGGAGGUCAACAGCCCUCUCCUGCUAUUGUUCCCCUGCAAAAACACUCAGAAGCAAAUGGCUGAACUAGAAUUUAUUUUAAAAAUUACUAGAAUUUAUUCUCUGCCAUCCCAGCUCUCUAAAUUAGCAUAGCAAAGCCAGGAAGAUUGUGAUCACAACUAAUACUUCUGCUAUGGUGGGUCGUCACCGUUCUUAUCUUUUAUGCACUUGAGCUUUGGUUAAAAAGGCCACAGACAACCGCUCUCUCCAUUGCAUGGCCUUCUGACCCUACUGUUUACAUUUUUUAUCCUUCAAUGUGCGCAUGAGUGCUAGACGAUAACACAUCAUGAGUCUGACAAAGCCAACAGAAGAUUAUGCCACAACACAUGGUUAGUCAUAAAGGUGCUGCCUAUGAGAUUCUUUUUUGAUGCGACAACAACCUUGCAGCAUUGCAUGCCACUAUGACGUACUGGUGGACAAGCCUACAGGAUCAGUCUCCAGAAGAAGAAGAAGAAGAAGAAAAUUGCUGAUGGGUCUGUUUACUUGAAUACUGGGAUGGAUGCAGUCCCAGGAGGCACCAAAAUAAUGCUGCAAAUGGAGCAGAGCUUGUGUAGCUGAUACCUUGGAGGCCUGUUGUAAUAAAUGCCCAGCUCUCUUGGGAAUCAGGGAAGACAAAGCAGCAUGCAGCAUAGGCAUCUGUGUGUGAAUUUUCUCAGUGUACCUAGAGUCCACUGCAGUCAUGUGAGCUUUGUUCGCUGGCCCUUUUCUCUUUUCAGUUGUCAAUAUUAGCACCAGAAGUGACUUCUGACUUCAUGGGAACCAGGAGGGGGAGAGGGGUGAGUCAUUGCUCUUUUAAGCCACAUAAGCGCUCUCUCAUGGCAUGGCUUUUAAAAGCAACACAAAGAAUUGGAUCUAUAUGGGUUCAUCCCAGCCAGAUGCUGAAUUCCUUAUGGGAGAAGCUGACCGUGCUCCAUUCCCACACAAAUCAAUGAAUGAGCCUCACCAUGGGAUGCAGAAUCAGAGCUCUCCCCUGCCCAACACACACACACA